GAUGAACGCUGGCGGCGUGCUUAAUACAUGCAAGUCGAACGAAGGUUGUAGCAAUACAUCCUUAGUGGCGAACGGGUGAGUAACGCGUUGGUGACCUGCCCCGAAGUGCGGGAUAACAGUCCGAAAGGAUUGCUAAUACCGCAUGGUUUCAUUUGGAUUAGAUGCCAGAUGAGCAAAGGCGAAAGUCGCUUCGGGAGGGGCUUGCGUCCCAUCAGCUAGUUGGUAGGGUAAUGGCCUACCAAGGCGAUGACGGGUAGGGGACCUGAGAGGGUGGCCCCCCACAAUGGAACUGAAACACGGUCCAUACACCUACGGGUGGCAGCAGUAGGGAAUAUUAGUAAUGGGCGAAAGCCUGAACUAGCAACGCCGCGUGUGCGAUGAAGGUCUUCGGAUUGUAAAGCACUUUUUGGAGGGAUGAGGAAGGACAGUACCUCCAGAAUAAGCCUCGGCUAACUACGUG
rnacentral:rRNA from 1 species